UAAAAAAGGUAGUUUUCCAUUGAUUCUUAGAUCGUGAGAUAUUUCUUAAAAAAAACGCUCGUGAGAUCCCUAAUUACGUAGUCACUUUCCCCCUAAUCCAGAAGUCCCGAUUCCCAUCUCAGGCGGCAGCGGAGGCGCAGGUGGUGCAGCAUGCACAACAUCGCCGAGCGCCUCCGGUCUCCACUCUCCAGCCUUUACGCACACGGCGUACAUCACCUCAUCGCCGAGUUUCAUCAGCCACGCGAUCUCGACUAAUUCACGAGCAUUGUAUUAUCAUGUCGUCUAAAAAGUACUCAUUCGAUAGGGAUAAAAGAAAAAGAAAACAACGUGAGGUCUUCUUGGUAGAAUCACAGAGAUGAACGAUGAUACUAGUGCGUCGAUGAACAAGGUGAUACUAGUGCGUCGAUGAACAAGAUGAUGAACCCCUGACACUCAUGGUGUUUGAAGAUAUAUUUGGAUAUUUAUUGAGAACGGGCACCCUGAAUCAUUCAAUGAUAAUGAACUUGAAAAGUGUUGCACAAAUUGCAUAAACUAUGUCUCUCGAUGGUUCAUCUGAUGCUGGGGUAUAUGAUUUUAUUUUGCAAUUAAAGGUUAUAAAGUUCACUUUGCCCAAUGGCUUAAUGUUGAUAUGAAGAUUUUCGAUCA